GAAGAGCGGUGAGACCGUCCUGUUGGAGCAGAAACGUGGCUGUUCGUAGUCCCUCUUUUUUUUUUUUUUUAUUUAUCUCUAUCUGAAACCUCCUCCGCAUUCCGUUAGCUAGCUCGGUCACGUCCGGCUCUCCUAACGCCAACAGACAGCUGUUUCAUUAAUUAAAACAUCGGGCCAUGUGUUAGCAACCAAAAGGAGAACGGCUGCUCACCCACCAUUACAGAAUUACCCCCCCAUACGCAGCCCCAGAGUGACCGAUCAGGAGUGUUAUAACCCAGAGAGUAAGAGUCACAGCUCUGGAAAGAGAAAGUAGGGCCGUCAGACCAGUGUGACAACUGCCACAAAUUGUUUCACACCAUUUAUGUGGACUGGGAGAAGCUGCUGCAUGCUGAUGACUGAUAUUGGUGUCUUGGUUGUUCAUUUUGUUUAUCCAUUUGUUCUUUUCUUUGUCUAGUCUUUUUUUUAAAUUAUAUCACUGAAUAAAUCAUCUCUA